rnacentral:lncRNA from 10 species
GCCAACUAGCCAAAAAUCCCCUGGAAAGGUGAAACUGAAAUCACUCAUUCAUUCAAAAAGUGUUUACUGAGUAGCUUCAAAGAGCAAAUAUUAGGUUAGAUGCAGUGGGUGAUGUAAGGAUGAUUCAGACAACUAUUUCUCAUGGACUUUGCUUACUGAGCCAUCAACACACGGCCACCUUUUUCUAGAUGAAGUAUCCCAUCAUUUGAUUCUGGAUUGAGAACUCUUUGAGAGCAGAGACGAUGGCUUCACCUGAGUAUCCCCAGAGCCUGACGUUAGACAAG